rnacentral:rRNA from 1 species
GACGAACGCUGGCGGCGUGCUUAACACAUGCAAGUCGAACGCUGAAGCUUGGUGCUUGCCCUGGGUGGAUGAGUGGCGAACGGGUGAGCAAUACGUGAGUAACCUGCCCUUGACUCUGGGAUAAGCCUGGGAAACUGGGUCUAAUACUGGAUACGACAUGUCACCGCAUGGUGGUGUGUGGAAAGGGUUUUACUGGUUUUGGAUGGGCUCACGGCCUAUCAGCUUGUUGGUGGGGUAAUGGCUCACCAAGGCGACGACGGGUAGCCGGCCUGAGAGGGUGACCGGCCACACUGGGACUGAGACACGGCCCAGACUCCUACGGGAGGCAGCAGUGGGGAAUAUUGCACAAUGGGCGGAAGCCUGAUGCAGCGACGCCGCGUGAGGGAUGACGGCCUUCGGGUUGUAAACCUCUUUCAGCACGGAAGAAGCGAAAGUGACGGUACGUGCAGAAGAAGCGCCGGCUAACUACGUG